UCCCUGAUAGCUCAAUGGUAGAGCGAGCGGCUGUUAACCGCUAUGUUCGAGGUUCGAGUCCUCGUCAGGGAGCCA
rnacentral:tRNA from 1 species